UAGUCCACGCCGUAAACGAUGGAUACUAGCUGUUCGUGGCACAUUGGUGUUAUGAGUGGCUAAGCGAAAGUGAUAAGUAUCCCACCUGGGGAGUACGUUCGCAAGAAUGAAACUCAAAGGAAUUGACGGGGGCCCGCACAAGCGGUGGAGCAUGUGGUUUAAUUCGAUGAUACGCGAGGAACCUUACCAAGGCUUAAAUGAAGAUUGACAGAUUUGGAAACAGGUCUUUCUUCGGACAAUUUUCAAGGUGCUGCAUGGUUGUCGUCAGCUCGUGCCGUGAGGUGUCAGGUUAAGUCCUAUAACGAGCGCAACCCCUGUUGUUAGUUACCAGCAAGAAAGAUGGGGACUCUAACAAGACUGCCGGUGCAAACCGAGAGGAAGGUGGGGAUGACGUCAAAUCAUCACGGCCCUUACGCCUUGGGGCUACACACGUGCUACAAUGGGUAGGUACAAUGAGCAGCCACC
rnacentral:rRNA from 1 species